AUAAUCUAUAUAUGAUAAAAAGGAAAGCGAAUAAACAGUGAUUUUUUAUUAUUAUUAAAUUAAAAUUAUUAGUAUCAGUGUCUGUCAUACAUGUCUUACCCAUUUACAUGUGUUUUGAUGUUUCAGCUCCUCAUCUUCCACCUCACCUGCCCUUCUCACAAAAGAUACGCAGCCAAAAAGAAAGAGAAACAGGAGAAAGGUAUUAGAGAUAGAGAACAUAGAGAGAAAGAUAUGCGGAAGAUUUAGCGAGCCCAGAGCCGGUGAGUCUCCGGCAACCGGCCCCCACACGGCGACUUCCGACGAGCCUAGGGUUCAGGUGUGAACCAUGAUGACGGCGAUGUGGUGAAUCUGCUUCAAAAACCCCGUCUUGCUUCACCACUCCAGAUUUGAUGACAAUGACGGCGGUCAACCGGCUAGGUUCCGGAAGGUUCCGACAAUUUCUGGUUAGCCCUUUUCUCUUGCAUGUUCACUAUUUGGUUGGGCCGGUUGCCCAUGAUCCUUUAUCUGGCGAGUCAUGUUGAUCUGAUGAGUAGGUAACCUCCGGUGAGGUUCCGGUGCCGCUAGGUCUCUGUUGUUCGCCAUCACACUGCACAUUCAGACUUCGUCUUGGCCGCCGCAAGUAAAAGGUGAGAGAGAGAGAGAGAAGCAAGUAGGCGGUGGUCGUUUUGAAGUUCUUCGGGUCCGGCGAGAAGGAGAGCUGCAACAGCAGCUAUGAUUUUAAGUAGGGGUUCAUUUUCCCCCAUCGGUUCAGCUCGGCCAGAACCGAUGAUGAUGAAAUGGCGGUGAUCACUUCUGUAAUUAACUCCAACAAGAUCGAAGACCAUCAUUCUCAUCCUCCAUUUACAAAAGUGAGAAACUAAAUGAGAGAGAAACAGGAGAAAGAGAGAGAACAGUAAGAUAGAGAGAGAUCCGGAACGGUGAGCCUCUGGUAACCGUCCGGGAUGUAGAAACUGUUGGUGGUGUCGGUUUAGAGGUUGUAGUGGUGAGCUCCAUGAAGAUUCAGAGGGUUCGGUUCAGAGGUAACAGUGAUGAGUUCCGACGAGUCUUAAGGUUCCGUCGUGAAUCAUGAUCACAGUGGUGCCGACCACCUGGUCUUUUACAUAAUAGGCUUGCAAGUGGCUUCUUUUAGUUUGUAGUUAGAUUAGUUAGAUCUUCAAGAUAUCGGGUGACUUAUUGGAGAGAGGUAUUGGCUUGAGCCGUAGUAUUACCGGAGUUAUGGGGAAUUGGCGUGAUAUUCGAGUCUGGAUAGAUUAUUGGUUCGAAUAAGAACCUCUAGCUUAUAAAUUCUCGGGGUUCUUUAGUUUAGAAAGUAAAAAAGAAUUGCAGCAUAACAAAAAGACUUAAGAUGGAACCAAGUGGGUCCAAAUGGAUGUGGGCCUCGUCUAGACCGCCUAAUGCUUGGUCGGAAGAAAAGGAGCUGAGACAGCUGGAUGUUUUGAAGCAGGCAAUUGUGUUUGGGCUGGGUGAAGACAACUGGCUCUGGGCACGAUAACGCAAGGGGUUUUUCCAUGCGCCUGCCAAUAGAAAUAUGCGGUAUAGUUCAGUGCUUUGCCUGGUAUGUGGCGAGUAUAGAGACUCGGUGUAACACGUGUUCGUAUCAUGUUUCUUUAGUCAAAAGGUGUGACAAAUUGUUUACAAAUGGUGUAAGCUCCAACAAUUUCUGCCAUCCAAGUUGGUGACCUAUUUGAUAUGCACAAAGUCUUUCCAGUUCUCAAAGAAGAAAGAAGCCGCCUUUGCUGGUAAAAGUUAUAGAAGAGGUCAAGGUUCUCGGCUACUUAUGGAUCCGGAACCGGUCAAAGGCCGUCGCUCUAACCUGGGAGGAUUGGAAAUUGUUUAAAGUGUAAUUUUGGCCGAUAAGUUUGCUGGUAUGUAGAGUGUAUUCUCUGGUGGAAACAUGUGUAAUAUUUGGUGAUUUGGGUUUAGCGCUUUGCUUUCCCAUGCGAAUAAUAUAACUUUUUGUUUGUUUAGAAAAAAGUUUUUAUGUUUUUAA